rnacentral:rRNA from 1 species
UACAGAGGGUGCGAGCGUUAAUCGGAAUUACUGGGCGUAAAGCGUGCGUAGACGGUCAUGUAAGUCGGAUGUGAAAGCCCCGGGCUCAACCUGGGAAUUGCAUUCGAGACUGCAAGGCUUGGGUGCGGAAGAGGGAAGCGGAAUUUCCGGUGUAGCGGUGAAAUGCGUAGAUAUCGGAAGGAACACCAGUGGCGAAAGCGGCUUCCUGGUCCGACACCGACGUUCAGGCACGAAAGCGUGGGGAGCAAACAGG